GCACUGAUCCGUGAGGUGCCGAUGGGGCUUCUACGACUCGCUGGGGCUGCACUGCUGCCUGACGAGGCCGGCGGUGCUAAUGGCUCAACAGGAGGACUCUUCUGCAGGGGGUCCAUAGCAGGACUGCUGCGACCUACAGACCAGAACAAAUAUUUUAGACACACGCACACACAAAGGCCUGCAACACAUUAAAAAAAAGUUGGACAGGAUCCAGGAAAGGCUAAGUCUUUGGGGAGCAUAGCUGGAAAGAGGAUCUUCAUUUAGUCAACAAAUGUCCCCAAAUGGUGGUGAAACCAAUGGACUGGCAGUAAACUGCCUAUAGGGAGACAUUGGAGCCUGUUUGAACAGCCCAUAUGAG